UUAAGCAUAUCAAUAAGCGGAGGAAAAGAAACCAACAGGGAUUGCCUUAGUAACUGCGAGUGAAGCGGCAAGAGCUCAAAUUUGAAAUCUGGCACCUUCGGUGUCCGAGUUGUAAUUUGUAGAAGCAUCUUUUGGAUUGGUCCUUGCAUAUGUUCCUUGGAACAGGACAUCAUAGAGGGUGAGAAUCCCGUUCAUGGUGGGGAAUCCAAUUCUUUGUAAAGUGCUUUCGAAGAGUCGAGUUGUUUGGGAAUGCAGCUCUAAGUGGGUGGUAAAUUCCAUCUAAAGCUAAAUAUUGGCGAGAGACCGAUAGCGAACAAGUACAGUGAUGGAAAGAUGAAAAGAACUCCGAAAGGAGAGUGAAAAAGGACGUGAAAUUGUUGAAAGGGAAGUGCUUGAGAUCAGUCUUAAGGUUUAGUGAUCAGUCUUCCUUUUGGUUGGUGCACUCACUAUUUCUUAGGCCAACAUCAGUUUUCGCGGCAGGAUAAUGACAUUGGAAUGUGGCUCUUUCGGGAGUGUUAUAGCCUUUGUUGAUACUGCCUGCUUAGACUGAGGACCGCGCUUUUGCUAGGAUGUUGGCAUAAUGAUCUUAAGCAGCCCGU
rnacentral:rRNA from 1 species